GACGUAGGGCGCGAGCGUUGUCCGGAUUUAUUGGGCGUAAAGAGCUCGUAGGCGGCUCGUUGCGUCAACCGUGAAAACCCGGGGCUUAACUUCGGGCUUGCGGUUGAUACGGGCGGGCUGGAGUUCGGUAGGGGAGACUGGAAUUCCUGGUGUAGCGGUGAAAUGCGUAGAUAUCAGGAGGAACACCGGUGGCGAAGGCGGCUUUCUGGACAGAAACUGACGCUGAGGCGCGAAAGCUAGGGGAGCAAACAGG
rnacentral:rRNA from 1 species